UACGUAGGUGACAAAUGUUAUCCGGAAUUACUGGGCGUAAAGGGUCUGUAGGCGGUUACUUAGGUCUGAUGUGACAUCUCGCGGCUUAACUGCGAGCGCGCAUUGGAAACCGGGUGACUAGAAUCACGUCGAGGUCGGUGGAAUUCCCGGUGUAGUGGUGGAAUGCGUAGAGAUCGGGAGGAACCUCGAAAGCGAAGGCAGCCGGCUAGACGAUGAUUGACGCUGAGGGACGAUAGCGUGGGUAGCAAACAGG
rnacentral:rRNA from 1 species